rnacentral:rRNA from 1 species
UACGAGGGGGGCGAGCGUUGUCCGGAAUCACUGGGCGUAAAGGGCGCGUAGGCGGCUCAUGAAGGCUGUGGUGAAAGUCCGGGGCUCAACCUCGGAUCGGCCGUGGCGACUCGUGGGCUGGAGCACUGUAGAGGCGGGUGGAAUUCCGGGGUGUAGCGGUGGAAUGCGUAGAGAUCCGGAAGAACACCAGUGGCGAAGGCGGCCCGCUGGGCAGUGGCUGGACGCUGAGGCGCGACAGCGUGGGGAG